rnacentral:rRNA from 1 species
CAUGUCCUUUUGAUAAAAAUUUAAGGUCUAAUCUGCUCAAUGAUAUUUAAAUAGCCGCAGUAUUUUGACUGUGCAAAGGUAGCAUAAUAAUUAGUUUCUUAAUUAGAAGCUGGAAUGAAUGAUUGGACAAGAAAAUUUCUGUCUCUUUCUUAAUAUUAUUGAACUUUAUUUUUAAGUGAAAAAGCUUAAAUUUAUAUAAAAGACGAGAAGACCCUAUAGAGUUUAAUAGUUAAUUUUGAUAAAUACUUAGAAUAUUAAUUUAAAAUUAAUUAUUUAGUUGGGGUGACUAAAAGAUUUAAAAAAUUCUUUUAAAAAUUAAGUUGAAUAUUUUCAAUUUUCUAAUCUAUAGUUUAUAAAACUAAAAUAAAUUACCUUAGGGAUAACAGCGUAAUUUUUCUUAAAAGUUCUUAUUAAAAGAAAAGUUUGCGACCUCGAUGUUGGAUUAAAAUUAAUUUUUGGUGCAAUAACUUAAAAAUUAGGUCUGUUCGACCUUUAAAAUU